rnacentral:rRNA from 1 species
UACGUAGGGGGCAAGCGUUGUCCGGAUUUAUUGGGCGUAAAGCGCUCGCAGGUGGUUCGUCGCGUCGUGCGUGAAAGACCCCGGCUCAACUGGGGGAGGUCGUGCGAUACGGGCGAACUGGAGGCCAGUAGGGGGAUGCGGAAUUCCGGGUGUAGUGGUGGAAUGCGUAGAGAUCCGGAGGAACACCAGCGGCGAAGGCGGCAUCCUGGACUGGUCCUGACACUCAUGAGCGAAAGCGUGGGGAGCAAACAGG